rnacentral:misc_RNA from 1 species
GAAGUUUGUUCCUCUGGGCGUGCCUACAUGAAGUCUUAAGAUAUCAGAAAGUUGCAACUUAAUCCAUUUAGUGCACAGCUAAAGACAUAAAGGCAGGCGAUAAAUUGUUGGGGAGAAAGAAUAAAAAGCUAAUGUCAAAUUGUCAAUCCUCCCGAAAGUUCAUAGCAGUACAUAAAAAGAAGCUUACCAGCAUCUCCAGUUCUUGCACAU